UCCCAGAGUCCAUUUUCAGAGAAGGAAUGGUGCCUCAAGAGGAUGAGAGUAGAAAGAGUUCAGUCCUUCAGCUUGGGAUGGAGCAGAUUAUCCGGAAUGCUGUCCUUUCUUGAACAGAUCCACAUGAAACCUUCCCACUCAGUAAGAAAGUUGUGUAAUGUCCUGCUCAGUGAAGGCAUGCAUUCCUGGAAGAGCGGAGGUCCUGAGAAUGUCAAAAGCUCUUGAAAACAGGUCCAGUUUCCACUUUGCCAGACGCUAUGCCAAAGACUGCUCUGAGAGCUAAUUUUGGAUAAUGAGCAAUCAGCAAGGGCAGAACAUCCUUCUUUUCCCUCUCUGGAUUUUGCCAGCAAACAGCAGUAGGCUAGCCGCUCUACAUGGAAUCUCCUGGCCAGCAGCUCUCACCAGGAACAAGAGUCCAGGGCAGGAGCUUCAGAAAGACUACAGGAGCCAUGUGGACUUGAGAAACACUGCUCACAAUGAUGAAGCUGAGUCACAGAAAGGUUUCCAGAAUCUGGAUCACAACUGGCUGUGCUCUGGGCGUAAGAACAACUUAUACAGACAUCUCAGAAUAAAUGUUUCUUCAUCUUAUUGCACAACA